rnacentral:misc_RNA from 1 species
GAUGAAGAACGUAGCGAAAUGCGAUAAGUAAUGUGAAUUGCAGAAUUCCGUGAAUCAUCGAAUCUUUGAACGCACAUUGCGCCCCCUGGCAUUCCGGGGGGCAUGCCUGUCCGAGCGUCAUUUCUGCCCUCAAGCACGGCUUGUGUGUUGGGUGUGGUCCCCCCGGGGACCUGCCCGAAAGGCAGCGGCGACGUCCGUCUGGUCCUCGAGCGUAUGGGGCUCUGUCACUCGCUCGGGAAGGACCUACGGGGGUUGGUCACCACCAUGUUUUACCACGGUUGACCUCGGAUCAGGUAGGAGUUACCCGCUGAACUUAAGCAUAUCAAUAAGCGGAGA